rnacentral:misc_RNA from 1 species
UGGUUCUGGCAUCGAUGAAGAACGCAGCGAAAUGCGAUAAGUAAUGUGAAUUGCAGAAUUCAGUGAAUCAUCGAAUCUUUGAACGCACAUUGCGCCCUUUGGUAUUCCGAGGGGCAUGCCUGUUCGAGCGUCAUUACAAUUCUCAAGCCCGGCUUGGUAUUGGGUCUCGCUGCCUAAAGGCGGGCCUUAAAAUUAGUGGCGGUGCCGUUGUGACCCUGAGCGUAGUAAAUUUUCCUCGCUAUAGGGAAUCAGCGGUGGUAGCCAUUAACUCCUACUUCCUAAGUUUGACCUCGGAACAGGUAGGGAUACCCGCUGA